UACGGAGGAUCCAAGCGUUAUCCGGAUUAUUGGGUUUAAAGGGUGCGUAGGCGGUUUAUUAAGUCAGGGGUGAAAGACGGCAGCUUAACUGUCGCAGUGCCUUUGAUACUGAUGAACUUGAAUGUACUAGAAGUAGGCGGAAUGUGACAAGUAGCGGUGAAAUGCAUAGAUAUGUCACAGAACACCGAUUGCGAAGGCAGCUUACUAUGGUAUUAUUGACGCUGAGGCACGAAAGCGUGGGGAUCAAACAGG
rnacentral:rRNA from 1 species